CAGAGGGUGCAAGCGUUGUUCGGAAUCACUGGGCGUAAAGCGCGCGCAGGCGGAUGGUUGCGUCCGGAGUGAAAUUACGCCGCUCAACGGCGAAGCUGCUUUGGAUACGGACCGUCUAGGGACCGGUAGAGGCUGGUAGAAUUGCAGGUGUAGCGGUGGAAUGCGUAGAGAUCUGCAAGAAUACCCGUGGCGAAGGCGGCCAGCUGGGCCGGAUCCGACGCUGAGGCGCGAAAGCGUGGGGAGCAAACAGGAUUAGAUACCCUGGUAGUCCACGCCGUAAACGAUGGGCACUAGGUGCCGGGGGGAGCGACCCCCUCGGUGCCGCAGCUAACGCGAUAAGUGCCCCGCCUGGGGAGUACGGCCGCAAGGCUG
rnacentral:rRNA from 1 species